GCUCUGUGAUGAGAAAUAGCCAAAUCUGAGCACCGGUAAGACCAGCAGGUCUACAUGGUGCAUGAUCUAGAACACUGUUCUGGGA